GAAUGAAGGAAGCACGGUAAUGUGCACAUAAAUUGAUUUGGUCUCCAGGCCUGCUCUCUCUGAUGCCUUUCGACUUUGAUUUGGGGGUAUGGUUCCGCAACAAAACG